rnacentral:rRNA from 1 species
ACGCGCGCUACACUGAUAAAGUCAACAAGUAAUUAACCUUUGCCGGAAGGCAUGGGUAAUCUUUUGAAACUUUAUCGUGCUGGGGAUAGAGCAUUGCAAUUAUCGCUCUUCAACGAGGAAUCCCUAGUAAGCGUAAGUCAUCAGCUUGCGUUGAWWACGUCCCUGCCCUUUGUACACACCGCCCGUCGCUACUACCGAUUGAAUGGCUUAGUGAGGUCUUCGGAUCGGCGAUCGGUGAGUAGCAAUAUUCGCUGG